GUGAACACUGGCGGUAGGCCUAACACAUGCAAGUCGAACGGCAGCACAGUAAGAGCUUGCUCUUACGGGUGGCGAGUGGCGGACGGGUGAGGAAUACAUCGGAAUCUACUUUUUCGUGGGGGAUAACGUAGGGAAACUUACGCUAAUACCGCAUACGACCUACGGGUGAAAGCAGGGGAUCUUCGGACCUUGCGCGAUUGAUUGAGCCGAUGUCGGAUUAGCGAGUUGGCGGGGUAAAGGCCCACCAAGGCGACGAUCCGUAGCUGGUCUGAGAGGAUGAUCAGCCACACUUGAACUGAGACACGGUCCAGACUCCUACGGGAUGCAGCAGUGGGGAAUAUUGGACAAUGGGCGCAAGCCUGAUCCAGCCAUACCGCGUGGGUGAAGAAGGCCUUCGGGUUGUAAAGCCCUUUUGUUGGGAAAGAAAAGCAGCAGGUUAAUACCCCGCUGUUCUGACGGUACCCAAAGAAUAAGCACCGGCUAACUUCGUG
rnacentral:rRNA from 1 species